AGAGUUUGAUCCUGGCUCAGGACGAACGCUGGCGGCGUGCCUAACACAUGCAAGUCGAACGAGAAUCUUUGAACAGAUCUUUUCGGAGUGACGUUCAAAGAGGAAAGUGGCGGACGGGCGAGUAACGCGUGAGUAACCUGCCCAUAAGAGGGGGAUAAUCCAUGGAAACGUGGACUAAUACCGCAUAUUGUAGUUAAGUUGCAUGACUUGAUUAUGAAAGAUUUAUCGCUUAUGGAUGGACUCGCGUCAGAUUAGAUAGUUGGUGAGGUAACGGCUCACCAAGUCAACGAUCUGUAGCCGAACUGAGAGGUUGAUCGGCCGCAUUGGGACUGAGACACGGCCCAGACUCCUACGGGAGGCAGCAGUGGGGAAUAUUGCGCAAUGGGGGCAACCCUGACGCAGCAACGCCGCGUGCAGGAAGAAGGUCUUCGGAUUGUAAACUGUUGUCGCAAGGGAAGAAGACAGUGACGGUACCUUGUGAGAAAGUCACGGCUAACUACGUGCCAGCAGCCGCGGUAAUACGUAGGUGGCAAGCGUUGUCCGGAUUUACUGGGUGUAAAGGGCGCGUAGGCGGACUGUCAAGUCAGUCGUGAAAUACCGGGGCUUAACCCCGGGGCUGCGAUUGAAACUGACAGCCUUGAGUAUCGGAGAGGAAAGCGGAAUUCCUAGUGUAGCGGUGAAAUGCGUAGAUAUUAGGAGGAACACCAGUGGCGAAGGCGGCUUUCUGGACGACAACUGACGCUGAGGCGCGAAAGUGUGGGGAGCAAACAGGAUUAGAUACCCUGGUAGUCCACACCGUAAACGAUGGAUACUAGGUGUAGGAGGUAUCGACCCCUUCUGUGCCGCAGUUAACACAAUAAGUAUCCCACCUGGGGAGUACGACCGCAAGGUUGAAACUCAAAGGAAUUGACGGGGGCCCGCACAAGCAGUGGAGUAUGUGGUUUAAUUCGAAGCAACGCGAAGAACCUUACCUGGGCUUGACAUCCCUGGAAUCGAGUAGAGAUACUUGAGUGCCUUCGGGAAUCAGGUGACAGGUGGUGCAUGGUUGUCGU
rnacentral:rRNA from 1 species